GGACCCCUAGCUCAGUGGUAGAGCGUGAGAUUCCAGUGGUAAGCUGUCUCCUCAAGGUCAUCCGUUCAAUCCGGGUGGGGUUCA
rfam:Leucoagaricus sp. SymC.cos contig33926, whole genome shotgun sequence.